GACGGAGGAUGCAAGUGUUAUCCGGAAUCACUGGGCGUAAAGCGUCUGUAGGUGGUUUCACAAGUCCACUGUUAAAGAUUGAAGCUUAACUUCAAAAAUGCCGUGGAAACUUUGAAACUUGAGUAUGAUAGGGGUAGAGGGAAUUUCCAGUGGAGCGGUGAAAUGCGCAGAUAUCAGGAGGAACACCCGUAGCGAAGGCGGCACUCUGGGCCGAUUCUGACACUGAGGAGCGAAAGCGUGGGGAGCGAACAGG
rnacentral:rRNA from 1 species